CCUACGGGCGGCAGCAGUGAGGAAUAUUGGUCAAUGGGCGCGAGCCUGAACCAGCCAAGUCGCGUGAGGGAGGACGGCCCUACGGGUUGUAAACCUCUUUUGCCGGGGAGCAACGGGCGCCACGUGUGGCGCCACUGAGAGUACCCGGAGAAAAAGCAUCGGCUAACUCCGUGCCAGCAGCCGCGGUAAUACGGAGGAUGCGAGCGUUAUCCGGAUUUAUUGGGUUUAAAGGGUGCGUAGGCGGAUCGUUAAGUCAGUGGUCAAAUUGAGGGGCUCAACCCCUUCCCGCCAUUGAAACUGGCGAUCUUGAGUGGAAGAGAAGUAUGCGGAAUGCGGGGUGUAGCGGUGAAAUGCAUAGAUAUCACGCAGAACCCCGAUUGCGAAGGCAGCAUGCCGGCUUCCGACUGACGCUGAAGCACGAAAGCGUGGGGAUCGAACAGGAUUAGAUACCCCAGUAGUC
rnacentral:rRNA from 1 species